CCUACGGGAGGCAGCAGUGGGGAAUCUUGCGCAAUGGGCGAAAGCCUGACGCAGCAACGCCGCGUGCGGGAAGAAGGCUUUCGGGCUGUAAACCGCUUUCAGCAGGAACGAAAAUGACGGUACCUGCAGAAGAAGGAGCGGCCAACUAUGUGCCAGCAGCCGCGGUGAUACAUAGGCUUCAAGCGUUGUCCGGAUUUAUUGGGCGUAAAGAGUUCGUAGGCGGUCGAGUAAGUCGGGUGUGAAAAUUCUGGGCUCAACCCAGAGACGCCACCCGAUACUGCUUGACUUGAGUUCGAUAGGGGAGUGGGGAAUUCCUAGUGUAGCGGUGAAAUGCGCAGAUAUUAGGAGGAACACCGGUGGCGAAGGCGCCACUCUGGAUCGAUACUGACGCUGAGGAACGAAAGCAUGGGUAGCAAACAGGAUUAGAUACCCUGGUAGUCCAUGCCGUAAACGGUGGGCACUAGGUGUGGGUUUCUAUUAACGAAAUCCGCGCCGUCGCUAACGCAUUAAGUGCCCCGCCUGGGGAAGUACGGUCGCAAGACUAAAACUCAAAUGAAUUGACGGCNGAGACGNGCGACGACGACGACGAGGAGAGG
rnacentral:rRNA from 1 species